AACACGCCAGCCGCACCCUGGGUCCGCGGUGUGACGCGACCUCGGUGACAAGGGUCGUCAGGAGCGUCACCAAGGGCCGCGCCAAAAGCCUCCACGCGACCCAGCGCGCGGGCAGGCAGGCGUGCCCGAAGGCACGGAAAUCAUGCAUCGGGCCUCAGAUAUGCAGCACCAAAGGGACUCCGCAGCCAACGACUCAGACCAUCUGGGUGGUUCUGAUACAGCCGGAUGGUUGCCAUGAUUUGAGAGAGUUGAGAACCUUGAGAGGAAAAAGCCACUGCUCCCAAGCUCUUCCGCCAGGGUGACCGGACUCCGCCGACGAGCCUCACGCGUCCGGGACAGCCUCGUCUCCUUCCUCAGCUGGCCCGAGUCUUCUCUCCACACCAGCUGGGGUUGUUUCCUGUGGCUGCCGUCACAGGUCAUGGGCACAGGUUCCAGGGGUCACGACACAGGCACGUCUUUUAGGGGGCUACUCUUCGGUCCACAAUACCAACCACCAGCCAGAGGGAGCUUCCCGAAACGUAAGCCAGAACGGACUCUGCCCUGCCUACCACCUCCCAGGGCCCCUUCAGCUAACGGCUCUCGGCUCCCACCGCUUUGCCGUCCGUGCCAACAGCCUGGCGCGGCUCCCCGGAGGUGGUAGUCUGCCACCUGAGGGUCUUCAAAAUGUUCGGCCAAGGGGAGGGACUCGCGCCGCCUACCCUGUCCCCAGCUCUUGCUGUCUGCGGCAAGGCGCGGGCCCCCUGGGCAGAGUACCUGUGUGCGCUGUGCGUUUGUGUGCGGGUGCGCGUGCGGGUGGAGGGACUCAGGGCCCCAAGCCCCCUGUGCAGCUAACCCCCGUCAUGCCUGGAGCACCGUGUCACUGCUGACUGUCCCCUACCCGAGGCCGAAACCCAGACCACGCAGAAUGGCAGCCGAAAGCGGCAUACCAUGCACGCCACCCCCCACACUCACCCACAAACGUGCACACGCAUCAGGCACGCCCCCCUCCCCGCGCACACAGAGGGCUGCACCGUGCAUACACGUUACACACCCAAAUCCUAUCACUCUGUCCUCUGGCCCCCGGCCGGAGGCCUGCCGGUGACCUCCUCAUCCCCCGUGUUUGUCAGUUAAACAGCACGGCUUGAACUCCU